AUAGAAAACGUGCAACUGUUUUUAGUCGGAUAACAGGCCUAGUUUCUGCAUCACAUGUCGUCGGAAAUCUCCUAGCACGUUUUCUUCCAGAAGAGUACAUUUUCGAAGUUUCAAUAGCUUUGUUAAUCUUCUGUCCAGUUUAUAUGGCGUUCUUUCUCGUUGAAACGGUUAAAUCAACUCCAAAGCUGGAUCAACAUUCAUCUUAUUUGAAUAAAGCACUCACGGUUGUACAAGAACGUUAUAAAACAAUGAAAUAUGCUGUAACUAUCGUGUUAAACACUCCGACUUUGAGGAG